CACCGCGGUUAGACGAAAGGCCCAAGUUGAUAUUAUCCGGCGUAAAGGGUGGUUAGGACAUACUAUUAAAUAAAGCCGAACGACCUCAAAGCUGUCAUACGCCUUCGAGACCAAGAAGCCCAACUGCGAAAGUAGCUUUACUUAUUCUGAACCCACGAAAGCUGAGGAACAAACUGGGAUUAGAUACCCCACUAUGCUCAGCCCUAAACAUUGGUAGCGCAUCACAGCCGCUACCCGCCUGGGUACUACGAGCACCAGCUUAAAACCCAAAGGACUUGGCGGUGCUUUAGACCCCCCUAGAGGAGCCUGUUGUGUAACCGAUAACCCCCGUUUAACCUCACCUUUCCUUGUCCCUCCCGCCUAUAUACCGCCGUCGUCAGCUCACCCUGUGAAGGCCUAAUAGUAAGCAAAAUUAGCACAGCCCAGAACGUCAGGUCGAGGUGUAGCGCAUGGAAGGGGAACAAAUGGGCUACACUCACUAUGAUAGUGAAUACGAAUGAUAUCCUGAAACGGACAUCUGAAGGUGGAUUUAGCAGUAAAUUACGAAUAGAGAACCCUAUUGAAGCCGGCUCUAAAGCGCGCACACACCGCCCGUCACCCUCCCCGAGAUCGUAAGACUCUUUUCUAAAGCCCCUACAACAGAAAGGGGAGGCAAGUCGUAACAUGGUAAGCG
rnacentral:rRNA from 1 species